GCUCAGAUUGAACGCUGGCGGCAUGCCUUACACAUGCAAGUCGAACGGCAGCACGGGAGCAAUCCUGGUGGCGAGUGGCGAACGGGUGAGUAAUAUAUCGGAACGUGCCCAGUCGUGGGGGAUAACGCAGCGAAAGCUGUGCUAAUACCGCAUACGAUCUCUGGAUGAAAGCGGGGGACUCGUAAGAGCCUCGCGCGAUUGGAGCGGCCGAUAUCAGAUUAGCUAGUUGGUGGGGUAAAGGCCCACCAAGGCGACGAUCUGUAGCUGGUCUGAGAGGACGACCAGCCACACUGGAACUGAGACACGGUCCAGACUCCUACGGGAGGCAGCAGUGGGGAAUUUUGGACAAUGGGCGCAAGCCUGAUCCAGCAAUGCCGCGUGCAGGAUGAAGGCCUUCGGGUUGUAAACUGCUUUUGUACGGAACGAAAAGGUUUGCCUUAAUACGGUGGGCCCAUGACGGUACCGUAAGAAUAAGCACCGGCUAACUACGUGCCAGCAGCCGCGGUAAUACGUAGGGUGCGAGCGUUAAUCGGAAUUACUGGGCGUAAAGCGUGCGCAGGCGGUUAUAUAAGACAGAUGUGAAAUCCCCGGGCUCAACCUGGGACCUGCAUUUGUGACUGUAUAGCUAGAGUACGGUAGAGGGGGAUGGAAUUCCGCGUGUAGCAGUGAAAUGCGU
rnacentral:rRNA from 1 species